rnacentral:rRNA from 1 species
AUUGAACGCUGGCGGCAUGCCUUACACAUGCAAGUCGAACGGCAGCACGGGUGCUUGCACCUGGUGGCGAGUGGCGAACGGGUGAGUAAUACAUCGGAACAUGUCCUGUAGUGGGGGAUAGCCCGGCGAAAGCCGGAUUAAUACCGCAUACGAUCUACGGAUGAAAGCGGGGGACCUUCGGGCCUCGCGCUAUAGGGUUGGCCGAUGGCUGAUUAGCUAGUUGGUGGGGUAAAGGCCUACCAAGGCGACGAUCAGUAGCUGGUCUGAGAGGACGACCAGCCACACGGGGACUGAGACACGGCCCAGACUCCGACGGGAGGCAGCAGUGGGGAAUUUUGGACAAUGGGCGAAAGCCUGAUCCAGCAAUGCCGCGGGUGUGAAGAAGGCCUUCGGGUUGUAAAGCACUUUUGUCCGGAAAGAAAUCCUUGGCCCUAAUACGGGCGGGGGAUGACGGUACCGGAAGAAUAAGCACCGGCGAACUACGU